AAAAUAACGUAAAAUCGAGAAUUUAAACGGAAAGAUCGAAAACACAAAGUAAAGCUGAAAAUGGAAGGAAAUAAAAUACAAGAAAAUUCUAAGGAAGAAGUCGGCAAUUUCGAAAAUCAAAAAGACAAUGUUGGUUGCUAUUGAAAAUUUUGGAACAAAGGAACAACAAAAUGGGCCACAAUAGGAUUUGGAAAUUCCUUUUUAUUGAGGACGAUCAAAAUCUUUUAGCUGUUCGCUCCAAGUUAUAUGCAAUAUCCGUAGUAAUGGGGUAU